AUUGAACACUGGCGGCAUGCCUUACACAUGCAAGUCGAACGGCAGCACGGGUGCUUGCACCUGGUGGCGAGUGGCGAACGGGUGAGUAAUACAUCGGAACGUACCUUAUCGUGGGGGAUAACGCAGCGAAAGCUGUGCUAAUACCGCAUACGCCCUGAGGGGGAAAGCGGGGGAUCGCAGGACCUCGCGCGAUUAGAGCGGCCGAUGCCUGAUUAGCUAGUUGGUGGGGUAAAAGCCCACCAAGGCGACGAUCCGUAGCUGGUCUGAGAGGACGAUCAGCCACACUGGGACUGAGACACGGCGCGGACUCCUACGGGAGGCAGCAGUGGGGAAUUUUGGACAAUGGGGGAAACCCUGAUCCAGCAAUGCCGCGUGAGUGAAGAAGGCCUUCGGGUUGUAAAGCUCUUUUGUCAGGGAAGAAACACCGGCUCUAACACAGUCCGGGAAUGACGGUACCUGAAGAAUAAGCACCGGCUAACUACAUGCCAGCCGCCGCGGUAA
rnacentral:rRNA from 1 species